AAGGGCAAUUGUUUAUAUACUUCCGAAAAGUUUUCGACUUUCUGAUUUACCCCUCUUAGAAGGCUAAUAUUGAAAAUGCCUCUUUUACAUUCCAACUUAUUUCAAAUAUGUCUCUAGAGUUAAAAUUUGUUAAUAAACUCUGUUAUCGCUAUAAAAUUACUAUUUUACCCUUUCAAAUAUACCAUUCUUUUAUCACCGACUUUUCUUAUUUACCCUUAAUUUAGAGACACAAAAAGUAUUUUGCUUUUUGGUCUUUUCAAAUAUACCCUUCUACCUAGGGGUGGUAAUCCAGCUCGUCGUUCGCGAGCCAACUCGUAUUCGACUCGAAAUGAGCUCGAGAUUGAAUCGCUCGUUUAAUAAAUGAGCCGAGCACGAGCUGAAAUUUUCAGCUCGUUUAAUAAACGAGCCGAACACAAGCUAGGGUCAGCUCGCUCGUGUUCGGCUCGAUACCAGCUCGAAUACAUAUAUUUUAUAUUUAUAUAUAUAAAUUAAUAAUUAUAUAUGUAUAUAAUACAAAUUUUUAUUA
rnacentral:lncRNA from 1 species